UACGUAGGGUGCGAGCGUUGUCCGGAAUUACUGGGCGUAAAGAGCUCGUAGGUGGUUUGUCGCGUUGUCCGUGAAAACUCACAACUCAAUUGUGGGCGUGCGGGCGAUACGGGCAGACUGGAGUACUGCAGGGGAGACUGGAAUUCCUGGUGUAGCGGUGGAAUGCGCAGAUAUCAGGAGGAACACCGGUGGCGAAGGCAGGUCUCUGGGCCACUACUGACGCUGAGAAGCGAAAGCAUGGGGAGCGAACAGG
rnacentral:rRNA from 1 species